rnacentral:lncRNA from 1 species
AGCCUGGAGAACAAGCAUGAGGAGGACUCACAAACGCUGUCUUCACAGCAAAGAGCUUCAUUUCUGAGAUCCUUAGAACCUGCAGAAGCUGCAGCUGAGCAACCUAUUGCAACAAGUUCUAGUGAUGAGGAAGAAGAGAACUCUUCCCCAUUAAGCGACAGCAUUUCAGACAUCCUGGCUGUAAGAAUCAGCAAAAUUCUGACUGAUGCACUGUUAUGAAGGACUACCCAUCAGGCUUAUUUGACUGGACAGUCUUUCCUUUAAUGCUUGUUUUAUAUUUUCCCUUUACUUUCACCUAACAGAUCUUCUUCGAUGAUCAGUCAGAGAUAUCUUCACGUGUAAGUCUUUUAUUUUGUAACGCCUUUUCCUGCAGAAGCUACGGCUGAAGAACCUCAGCACAAUAUGGAUGUUACAUGCAAAUAAGAACAUUCGUUUGCUGUAAUGACCAGUUUUUCCCCUAUUUCCAACAGAGCACAACGUGCACUAGUAAGGAGGAAGAGGAGAACUUAUCUGCAUCAAAUAAAACUGUUUCAGACGUCCUGAUUAGCCCGGGGUCCACAGAUGAUGAAGACCCAGAAAUAUACUUUUCCUGUGUCAGUGACACCCAACAGGAGGAGCAGGCUGAAGAGCCCCUGGCGAUAGUCGGCCGGCCAGGCUCACCUUUAGGUGUCGCAGGUCACCAGAGCCCAGCGUGUCCUGCAGGGGUGGGAGGAGAGGACAUGUGUCCACUCGACAGCCCCUCUUCCCCUAAGACCAGCAUUGAUGUCGAGCAAGCUAUAAAAAAGUCCCAGAGAUAUAUUGUUCCUAUGUGGUCUCCAGAAGCAGAUUAG